GCAAUAGCAUCGCGAUUAUAGAAAGUAGGCAGCAUAUCCAGUCCCUGGCUCGUUAUGUUUAAUAAUGAAUGGAUAAGUGGGGGCGCAGUACCAAAACAUUUAGCAAUCACUAAGGAAUGAGAUGCGAAAUUACUGCUUUCCUAGACUUAUAAGAUAGGCUGUUGUGCUGGAGAGAGAAAUACAUGGUAUUAUAAAGUUUCUUCUUUAAAAAAAGCAAUUUCCAUGAAGCGUUUAGGAUACCUAUGACCUUUUCCAUAGGCCAGCGUGGCCAGUGAACCUCAGUUUACCUCAACUGUUAACUUGUAGACGAGAAGGGAAGGACAUUUUUUGUGCAUUUACCAGUGCUAGAUCCUCGGCUAACCGUUUUACUGCAUACUAUCUUUUUUACGAUGAUUCUCUGAAGUACGUGUUCUCUCUUUUUUUAACAGAUGAAUUCAUUUAGGCCCAGAGAGAUGAAGUGACUAAUUGAAGGUCACACAGUGUCCAGGAUGGAUUCCAGACCUUCUGAUACACUUAUUGAAAAUUUUAUCCACUGGGUCUUUCUUCCCAAGACUGCCCAGUGGAGUGAAGUUGCUCAGUCACGUCCGACUCUUUGCGACCCCAUUGACUGUAGCCUACCAGGUUCCUCCAUCCACGGGAUUUUCCAGGCAAGAAUACUGGAGUUGGUUGCCAUUUUCUUCUCUAGGAGGUCUUUGCGACUCAGGGAUUGAACCUGGGUCUCCUGCAUUGUAGGCAGACGCUUUACUGUCUGAACCACCAGGAAAGUCAUAAACGUUUUCUUCCAGAUGUAUUUCUUUAAUCUCUUCAUGUCUGAAUAUGUCUGGGACUUUACUUACCUUCCCAACAAGGCCUUCCGUUUCCCAGAUCUCAGCACUGACCUCUUCAGAGUCUUAUACCCCUUCCCUUGGAUAGCCCACAUUUAGCUUUUGAUGAAAUUAUAGUGUGUCUUGCUGUUGGUAAUGCGUUGUAUGGGCCUCAGGUGUUUUGCGUGACCCUGAGAUCAGGCAAAGAGGGCACUGGACACGGGAACUGGUGGCUCUGGCCCCUAGCUCCAGCUCUGCCACUGGCUGGCUUUUAGACUUCUACAAUCAAGUUC
ensembl:lncRNA